rnacentral:rRNA from 1 species
GAUUAACGCUAGCGGCAGGCCUAAUACAUGCAAGUCGAACGGCAGCGGGUCCAGCAAUGGAUGCCGGCGAGUGGCGCACGGGUGCGUAACGCGUAUGCAACCUACCUUUGACUGGGGGAUAGCCCCGAGAAAUCGGGAUUAAUACCCCAUAAUAUUAUGAAGUGGCAUCUCUUUAUAAUUAAAGCUCCGGCGGUCUUAGAUGGGCAUGCGUGACAUUAGCUUGUUGGUGAGGUAACGGCUCACCAAGGCGACGAUGUCUAGGGGUUCUGAGAGGAUUUUCCCCCACACUGGUACUGAGACACGGACCAGACUCCUACGGGAGGCAGCAGUAAGGAAUAUUGGGCAAUGGGCGCAAGCCUGACCCAGCCAUGCCGCGUGAAGGAUGACGGCCCUAUGGGUUGUAAACUUCUUUUGUACGGGAAAAAACCCCCGGUCGUGAACCGGGGUUGAUGGUACCGUAAGAAUAAGCAUCGGCUAACUCCGUGCCAGCAGCCGCAGUAUAC